AUGGGCGAUGGCUCACUCUCACUAGUCACUACCACUACACGUCUCCACUCUCCAGUACCCGUCACUACUGUUGGCGGGAAUCCUCUUACGCCGCCGCCGCCGCCGUCGUCCCGCCUCCCUCCGCCCCUCCCCCUCUCCUCUUUUAAGAGGCAUCCCUCCUCCAUCCCGCCGUCGAGGAUACUGUUUCUUGGCCCGGCACAGCAGGAGGCCGGCGGCGAGCAUCACCAGGAUCCCAAUAUGGCAGAUCUCCCUGGUACUACUCGUAGCUGUUGCGACCCGCCGGCUGAUUCGACGGUUGAGGCCGUUGAAGAAGCAGUGGCUCCGUCUGAGCACUACUCCAAGUUGAAGAAAGCGGCUGAUUUCUCCGUUGAGAUAACAGAUGUGUGUGAUACUGAUACCCCCAGCCAGCAAGUUGAUUCCACAGUACAGACGACCAUGGAUUCUGCAGAAGCAGCUCCUGCUCCGGUUGAGGAGGAGUACCUGAAGAAAGCAGCUCAAGAGUUUAAGGCUGCUUCCUCCUCUGAGAUCACAGAUGCGCAUGAAAUUCAUAGAUGUAGCCACGAGCAAGUUGACGAGGGCAUGGAUUUUGCAGAACCAGCGGCACUGGCUUCGGCUCCGGUUGAUAACGAGUACUUGGGAAAAACAGCAGUAGAGUUCAAGGUUGAUUUCAACAAGAGAGAAGAGAAGAUGCAUAGGUUCCCUGCAAGCCUGCGCGGUCUCGGCAGCCCGUACAUUGUGCCCAGGGUCGUGGCCAUCGGCCCUUACCACCACGGCGCACCCCACCUCCGGCGGAUGGAGAAAGUGAAACACAUGGCUGCCUACACCACUUCAUCAGAGGGUCGGAUGGCCACUCGCUUGAGGAGAUCUAUGGGGCUGUGGUCAAGGUUGCAGACAAGGCCCGCCGUCUGUACGUUGAUGAUGCGGUGGCAGUUUAUGCUUGGUAACAAGGAGCUGCUUGACUGCCCAGAGUUGCGAUAUGUUUUUCACUCCAACGAAAAAUAUAUCAUUAAUGAUGUAAUCUUGCUGGAGAACCAGCUCCCAUGGAUGGUUGUGGAAACCCUCCUUAAUUUUAGGUUUGUGCCAGUGAAAAAGAAACUUUUGAACUUCGGAGAAAAUCUCACAAACCGUGUGUAUCAUAUCAAACAAGAUGAAAUCCUUUCAGACAUGGAGGAAGAGUACACACCACCUCAUCUCCUUGGUCUUCUUAGAUUCUACAAAACAAACAGGAAAAGGGCCACCAAAAUCAAGAUGGCCAACAAAAAGGCCAAAAGAGCCAGCAAGAUAGCAUUUCCAGCAUGUCUUCUAAAGGUGGUAUUUACAAUAUCGAAAGAGUUGAACACCCGAAUGAUUGCAGAGUCUAACAACCUCGUGGAUGUUCAUGUAGAAAGCCACGUACCAUUAACCAAAAAGAAGUCCAGGAAAAAACUCAAUUCAGUGUCGACAUCUACAAAUGUCAUCGAGCUUGCAGAAAUUGGCAUCAAGCUCAAAGCCAUCAGGACAGGAAUUUUCACAGAAAUUGGCAUCAGGAAAGGACCCCUGUUUGGCGAGCUUUUCCUGACGCCACUGAUGUUAAGCAGUGCAAGGGCGAGUUGGCUUGUAAAUAUGGCUGCUCUUGAGGUAUGCACGAGCUCAGGGGGUCAACGUCGUUAUCAACAUUGUGAUGAAGAGAUGGCCAUCUGCUCGUACAUUGCCCUGCUUUCGAUGCUCAUGGACCGGGAGGAGGAUGUGCACGAGCUACGAAGGAAGCAUAUUGUGCAAGGAGAACUCACAAACAAAGAGGUGCUCCAGCUCUUCAAGAGCCUUACGAAGCACCUGACGUCCAGCCGCUCAUACCGCCGCAUCUUGAGAGACAUUGAGAGCUACAAGGUCAACAGGUGGCUGUGGAUCAAGGUGCACAAGUUCAUCUACAACAACUUUAGAACCAUUGUCACGGUAGGGCGCUCCCCUCCCUUGUUCGAAGGCGAGAUCAAUGUAAAAGUCGAGAGUAUGAAAUGCAGUCAUGUGCCUGCCUUAGGGUAUCGGCUAUCAGGCCAUGCGAUGCGACGGCUGGAGUAG
rnacentral:rRNA from 1 species